CAAGUAUGAAAGGUUAAGCCACCGCGUCUAAGUCUACCUAUAAGCUGGAACGACACAAUCGCUUAUUCCCAGAGAGAAAACCAAAACGGGAACGAAAAGCUCCUCGCGCCGAAGCCUCCUCGUCUUCGUCGUUCGCGUCUAUGUCGUUUCAAGGAGAAAGUCGAAUGCGUUUGUGUUCUCCAUUUCCACUCAAGAAUUCGCAGGUUCCUAGACGCACGUAGAGAGAAGGAAAAAAGACUAUCGAAGACUAAACAUAAUGCAGGGUUGUGGUAAUUUGGAAAGAAUUCUCUUUGUGUGUUGAAGAAUUUUGCAGAAGUUUUUCCUGUCACGUACUUCUGUCGUCCAAAUGGUCCGAGGAAUUGUGUGAGGCAUGGGCUGCUUGGAGUUGUGGAAAUUGACUGUUAAUUUUUUCUUUGGUUUUACUCUUAGUAACAUGAAUGGAAGAUUAUUUCAGGUUGAAACUAAGAUGUUAAUUAGUUUUUUUGAAUGUGUUGUGCAGAUUGAAUAACUUGGAGUUUAAUGAGCUGCUUGGAAUGCCUUGAAGAUUUGAGUUGGCUUGGUGUGGAGUUUUGUUUGACAUGAAGACUUGGAAAUUAGUUUGAAAAUCUGUAAUUUUGGAUUGAAGUUUGUAACUUAAAUGGUAAUAAAUCAUGAAUUGGAAACAUAAACACGAAUUAAUUUGUAAUGAAUUGAAAAAUGGAUUUGUAUGAAAAGUCAAUGAAAUGAAUUUUAUUGAAUU